GAUGAACGCUGGCGGCGUGCUUAACACAUGCGAGUCGAACGGGAAAUAUUUCAUUGAGACUUCGGUGGAUUUGAUUUAUUUCUAGUGGCGGACGGGUGAGUAACGCGUGGGUAACCUGCCUUAUACAGGGGGAUAACAGUCAGAAAUGGCUGCUAAUACCGCAUAAGCGCACAGAGCUGCAUGGCUCAGUGUGAAAAACUCCGGUGGUAUAAGAUGGACCCGCGUUGGAUUAGCUAGUUGGUGGGGUAACGGCCCACCAAGGCGACGAUCCAUAGCCGGCCUGAGAGGGUGAACGGCCACAUUGGGACUGAGACACGGCCCAGACUCCUACGGGAGGCAGCAGUGGGGAAUAUUGCACAAUGGGGGAAACCCUGAUGCAGCGACGCCGCGUGAAGGAAGAAGUAUCUCGGUAUGUAAACUUCUAUCAGCAGGGAAGAUAGUGACGGUACCUGACUAAGAAGCCCCGGCUAACUACGUG
rnacentral:rRNA from 1 species